rnacentral:rRNA from 1 species
UACGUAGGGUGCAGGCGUUAAUCGGAAUUACUGGGCGUAAAGCGUGCGCAGGCGGCGCGUUAAGACAGGUGUGAAAGCCCCGAGCUUAACUUGGGAAUUGCGCUUGUGACUGGCGUGCUGGAGUGUGGCAGAGGGAGGUGGAAUUCCACGUGUAGCAGUGAAAUGCGUAGAGAUGUGGAGGAACACCGAUGGCGAAGGCAGCCUCCUGGGCCAGCACUGACGCUCAUGCACGAAAGCGUGGGGAGCAAACAGG